rnacentral:rRNA from 1 species
CCUAUGGGAGGCAGCAGGCGCGAAACCUCUGCAAUAGGCGAAAGCUUGACAGGGUUACUCUGAGUGAUGUCCGUUAAGGGCAUCUUUUGACACUUCUAAAAAUAGUGUAGAAUAAGGGGUGGGCAAGUCUGGUGUCAGCCGCCGCGGUAAUACCAGCACCCCGAGUGGUCGGGACGAUUAUUGGGCCUAAAGCAUCCGUAGCCGGUUCUGCAAGUCUUCCGUUAAAUCCACCUGCUCAACAGAUGGGCCGCGGGGGAUACUACAGGGCUAGGAGGCGGGAGAGGCAAGCGGUACUCGGUGGGUAGGGGUAAAAUCCUCUGAUCCACUGAAGACCACCAGUGGCGAAGGCGGCUUGCCAGAACGCGCUCGACGGUGAGGGAUGAAAGCUGGGGGAGCAAACCGGAUUAGAUACCCCGGUAGUCC